rnacentral:rRNA from 1 species
UACGUAGGUGCGAGCGUUGUCCGGAAUUACUGGGCGUAAAGGGCGUGUAGGCGGCUUUUUAAGUCAGACGUGAAAUCCCUGGGCUUAACCCAGGACCUGCGUUUGAAACUGGAAGGCUUGAGGAUCGGAGAGGGUAGUGGAAUUCCCAGUGUAGCGGUGAAAUGCGUAGAUAUUGGGAGGAACACCAGUGGCGAAGGCGACUGCCUGGACGACACCUGACGCUGAGGCGCGAAAGCUAGGGGAGC